rnacentral:rRNA from 1 species
UGGGGAAUUUUGGACAAUGGGCGAAAGCCUGAUCCAGCAAUGCCGCGUGAGUGAAGAAGGCCUUCGGGUUGUAAAGCUCUUUUGUCAGGGAAGAAACGGUGAGAGCUAAUAUCUCUUGCUAAUGACGGUACCUGAAGAAUAAGCACCGGCUAACUACGUGCCAGCAGCCGCGGUAAUACGUAGGGUGCAAGCGUUAAUCGGAAUUACUGGGCGUAAAGCGUGCGCAGGCGGUUUUGUAAGUCUGAUGUGAAAUCCCCGGGCUCAACCUGGGAAUUGCAUUGGAGACUGCAAGGCUAGAAUCUGGCAGAGGGGGGUAGAAUUCCACGUGUAGCAGUGAAAUGCGUAGAUAUGUGGAGGAACACCGAUGGCGAAGGCAGCCCCCUGGGUCAAGAUUGACGCUCAUGCACGAAAGCGUGGGGAGCAAACAGGAUUAGAUACCCACGUAGUCCCUGAGCGGGCUGGCAAGGCGCAU